CUUUUGCUGCUGCUGCUGCUGCUGCUGCUGCUGCUGCUGCUGCUGCUGCUGCAGUCAGCUGUUGUUGCUGCAGCUGCAGCUCUUGCUGCUGCUGCUGCCUUGGACAAAUGCAGCAGCAGCAUCACCUGUUGGUGCUGCUGCUGCUGCUGCAGCUGCAGCCACUGCUGCUGCUGCCGGUACUGCAGUUGCUGCUGCUGCUGUUGCUGCUGCUGCUGCUUCUGCUGCUGCUGCUGCAGCAGCAGCAGAAGCAGCAGCAGCAACAGCAGCAGCAAACAACA
rnacentral:sRNA from 1 species